rnacentral:rRNA from 1 species
UGAGUAACACGUGGGCAAUCUGCCCUUCACUCUGGGACAAGCCCUGGAAACGGGGUCUAAUACCGGAUAACACUUUCCCUCUCAUGGGGGAAGGUUAAAAGCUCCGGCGGUGAAGGAUGAGCCCGCGGCCUAUCAGCUAGUUGGUGGGGUAAUGGCCUACCAAGGCGACGACGGGUAGCCGGCCUGAGAGGGCGACCGGCCACACUGGGACUGAGACACGGCCCAGACUCCUACGGGAGGCAGCAGUGGGGAAUAUUGCACAAUGGGCGAAAGCCUGAUGCAGCGACGCCGCGUGAGGGAUGACGGCCUUCGGGUUGUAAACCUCUUUCAGCAGGGAAGAAGCGAAAGUGACGGUACCUGCAGAAGAAGCGCCGGCUAACUACGUGCCAGCAGCCGCGGUAAUACGUAGGGCGCAAGCGUUGUCCGGAAUUAUUGGGCGUAAAGAGCUCGUAGGCGGCUUGUUGCGUCGGUUGU